GAUGAAGAACGUAGCGAAAUGCGAUACGUAAUGUGAAUUGCAGAAUUCAGUGAAUCAUCGAAUCUUUGAACGCAUAUUGCGCUCUCUGGUAUUCCGGAGAGCAUGCUUGUUUGAGUAUCAGUAAACACCUCAACUUCCAUAUCUUUUUUGAAAUGGGAGUUGGACUUGAGUGAUCCCAACGCUUUUCCUCACCGAAAAGUGGCGGGUUACUUGAAAUGCAGGUGCAGCUGGACUUUUCUCUGAGCUAUAAGCAUAUCUAUUUAGUCUGCCUAAAAAACAGAUUAUUACCUUUGCUGCAGCUAACAUAAAGGAGAUUAGUUCUUGUGCUGACUGAUGCAGGAUUCCCAAAGACAGGCUUCGGCCGACUUUGUAAACUCGAUCUCAAAUCAAGUAAGACUACCCGCUGAACUUAAGCAUAUCAAUAAGCGGAGGA
rnacentral:misc_RNA from 1 species